AACGAACGCUGGCGGCAUGCCUAACACAUGCAAGUCGAACGAGACCUUCGGGUCUAGUGGCGCACGGGUGCGUAACGCGUGGGAACCUGCCCUUAGGCUCGGAAUAACUCCCCGAAAGGGGUGCUAAUACCGGAUAAUGUCUUCGGACCAAAGAUUUAUCGCCUUUGGAUGGGCCCGCGUUGGAUUAGCUAGUUGGUAGGGGAAAAGGCUACCAAGGCGACGAUCCAUAGCUGGUCUGAGAGGAUGAUCAGCCACACUGGGACUGAGACACGGCCCAGACUCCUACGGGAGGCAGCAGUGGGGAAUAUUGGACAAUGGACGAAAGCCUGAUCCAGCAAUGCCGCGUGAUUGAUGAAGGCCUUAGGGUUGUAAAGCUCUUUUAACCGGGAUGAUAAUGACAGUACCGGAAGAAUAAGCUCCGGCUAACUCCGUG
rnacentral:rRNA from 1 species